UGUCUCUGUUAAGUUCUAUGAAUCCCAUAUGCUAAAGAAUAAGUCAAUAUGAUCGCAACGCGUCGUUUUGUAUCAUUUGGGUGGAAGCUCUUUCUCCGCCGUCGCGAUAUGAGGUCAUACCCUAGGGUUUCAAUUCAGUUGAUUCAUCUGCUUCCUACCGAUCAAGAAAUCCACCAGUUACAUCAUUACUCAAGAUCUACCUUCAAUACGAACUUUUCUCUUGGAAGGCGGUGGAACUUCGAGUAUAAAAAGAAAUUGAGUAGUUGAAAGAGAGGAUGGCGAAACUACUGCUUGGUAAAGACAUGUCAGGUUCUGGUGAAGGAGUUUGGCCUGCCAUCUCGAACGCUAUUACCAAUCUCUAAGGUAAUUAGCUUUAGCUAUAGAUAAAUGGUGGCUUCCUCUGCCACGUGUGCCAUAUGAUGGACUCUCUGAGCAGUCCAGGAAGAAGCUAGACCACACUCCUGAUUUCACUAACCAAAUCUUGAAAUCGUGUAUGUCAAUCAACCUUGGUUUGAAAUGGCGCAAGGCGAGACGAAGCGAGGAGGCUGGAGCUUAGCGCCCAUCGCCAUGGUGCCAUUUUGCCAUCGCUUUGUGUACCUGCAACACAAAAGUACAACAAAUCGGUGCUUUUACCACUUUAGCAAAAUAUCAAAAACGAGGAAAAGCAAGGAUUUUACGUACCUCGCCUGGCAAUGGGGUCCCUUGGCGAUGAGGUCCUCGCUUGGUGGCGCUUAGCGCCAUGGCGCUAAAAACGGUCGCUUUUUUAAACCAAGCAAUCAACAGCAUUGCUUUAGCUGAAAUGGAAGUCCCACAAGCAUACCGUGAAGCUCUUCCAGAGGUAUGAUAAAAACUUUUAAAUCUCAUAGCCAUUUUUCUGAAGUUGCGUCUGAAUCACAUUGUUCUGUCAACAUAACAGGAGGCCAUGCCUUGGAGAUUUUCUUAUAGAAACAUCACGUCUGAUAACUUCUCAGCAGAUUACUUGCUUGGAGUCAAGAACAACAAAACCACGUGCUCCUCCUUCAAAUUUCUACUCUUUUGAUUAAGAACUAGAUACUGACCCGCGCAGGAUUGUUUAUAGUUUAGGUUUUUAAUUAUAAUUUUAUGAAAUUUUAUAAAUUUUGGUUUGUGUCCAAAUUGUAUUUUUAAUUUUUGGUUUGGUUCUAGUUCAGCUGUGGGUUUUGGUUUUCGGUUCAAGAAAUAUAGUAAUUGUUCGAUUAUUUAUGAAUUUGCUUGGUUUCGGUUUUGUUA